GACCUGGUAGCAUAGUGGUUAGUGCGUCUGCUUCAGCUAAAGAAUUUCGAGGUUUCUUAAGCAGAAGGUUCCUGUUCGAUUCGGGGUCAGAUCA